rnacentral:rRNA from 1 species
CCUACGGGUGGCAGCAGUGGGGGAUAUUGCACAAUGGGGGAAACCCUGAUGCAGCGACGCCGCGUGUGGGAAGACGGUCCUCUGGAUUGUAAACCACUGUCCCCAGGGACGAAGAUGAUGGUACCUGGGGAGGAAGCUCCGGUAAACUACGUGCCAGCAGCCGCGGUAAUACGUAGGGAGCACGCGUUGUCCGGAAUUACUGGGUGAAAAGGGGGCGUAGGCGGGCUGGCAAGUUGGGUGUUAAAUCUACCGGCUCAACUGGUAGUCGCACUCAAAACUGCUAUGCUUGAGUGAAGUAGAGGCAGGCGGAAUUCCUAGUGUAGCGGUGAAAUGCGUAGAUAUUAGGAAGAACACCAGUGGCGAAGGCGGCCUGCUGGGCUUUUACUGACGCUGAGGCUCGAAAGUGUGGGGAGCAAACAGGAUUAGAUACCCGGGUAGUC